rnacentral:rRNA from 1 species
GCUGGGUGGAUCAGUGGCGAACGGGUGAGUAACACGUGAGCAAUCUGCCCCUGACUCUGGGAUAAGCGCUGGAAACGGCGUCUAAUACUGGAUACGAGCUGCGAUCGCAUGGUCAGUAGCUGGAAAGAUUUUUUGGUCAGGGAUGAGCUCGCGGCCUAUCAGCUUGUUGGUGAGGUAAUGGCUCACCAAGGCGUCGACGGGUAGCCGGCCUGAGAGGGUGACCGGCCACACUGGGACCGAGACACGGCCCAGACUCCUACGGGAGGCAGCAGUGGGGAAUAUUGCACAAUGGGCGCAAGCCUGAUGCAGCAACGCCGCGUGAGGGAUGACGGCCUUCGGGUUGUAAACCUCUUUUAGCAGGGAAGAAGCGAAAGUGACGGUACCUGCAGAAAAAGCGCCGGCUAACUACGUGCCAGCAGCCGCGGUAAUACGUAGGGCGCAAGCGUUAUCCGGAAUUAUUGGGCGUAAAGAGCUCGUAGGCGGUUUGUCGCGUCUGCUGUGAAAUCCCGAGGCUCAACCUCGGGUCUGCAGUGGGUACGGGCAGACUAGAGUGCGGUAGGGGAGAUUGGAAUUCCUGGUGUAGCGGUGGAAUGCGCAGAUAUCAGGAGGAACACCGAUGGCGAAGGCAGAUCUCUGGGCCGUAACUGACGCUGAGGAGCGAAAGGGUGGGGAGCAAACAGGCUUAGAUACCCUGGUAGUCCACCCCGUAAACGUUGGGAA